UUCAGGGAGCAGAGGAGGCUCUGAGGAAAUAGUAAAGACAGAAGCAAGAUGGCAGCGGUGGAAAGGGAACAGAGGACGUCUUGGUGGUGCAGAGGAGGAGCAGAGAGCCUGCUCUCUGCCUAUGAAGGGGAGAAGGCAGGAGUAGCACCCAGCUGAAUGUGUCCAGGCCCAGCAACAGCAGACCACACAGCACCUGACUCCUUCCAAAUGCCCACAGGACCCUGUGUUUGGAUGAGGUAUCCACACUGAGAACACAUUUGACCAGAUCAACCAAGAGCAGAAAUGGAAAUACUGCAGUGACAACAACCAUGCCCACUCCCUUUUCGGCUAUUCUCAGUCCUGCUUUUACUGUGAGAGCUGAGAG